UCAAUAAGCAUGUACUUUGAUGCUAACGGUGCCAAGAAUUCACCACAAACACACCGAGUAAGCUUUUAGCCAUGUUACUCCAACUUUGCAGAACUCUACCCAGGACAGGUAGUAGCAGAGGUUGCUCCCCUGGACAUUUUCUAAUGAAGUCUUAAGCCAUAUGUUUUGAACCAGACUUUUAAUAACAUUUCUAACUUUUAAACAACUCAUACAUAAGCAUUAGUUAAGCACUCGUUGAGCUCUCCCUGGAGAAAAGUUCUAUAUAAGCUGCUGUCGAUUAAUGGAUCAAAGUCUGUUUAGACUCCUAAGCUAUGACCUUAGAAGAUGCAGUCAUGUAUUGGAUAACUAAGACACAAUUUAUUUAUUAUUAUGUACCUCUCCCCGUGAAUUGCCUCCCAUUACUUAUUUUCCUAAAUAGAAUAAAUGUGUCAUGUUUAUAAAAUAUUUUUGGUCUUUUGUUACCAGAAAUGUUGGUGUCUGUUUCUGGAAUAUUUUGAACAUUCAGCAGACCUAUUGCUUUUUUAGUAGACAAAAAGCUAGUGUUAUAAGAGACUUUUUCACCUGCAGUGGAAUCUUUGACUUGAGAUUUUAAUUUAAAGAUAAAAGGAAACGUAAACGAAAAAGAAAAAUGCCUGCUCCUUCUCAACAUAUCAUUAUUAUUUACGUAGCACUAACAUAUGUUGCUGCGUUGCACAAUGGGCACAUUAAAAAACUAUGGCAAACACGUUUAUGUGAAAACAUACAAAUUGAC